rnacentral:ribozyme from 1 species
UCCAGUUUCGACUUUCUUUAAUCUCCUUCUCUUUUGUCCCAACUUUUAUAAGUAUGAUAAGAAGUGGGAGUCAGAUCGUGGUUUCGUAUUUUACGAUUACAAGGAUGAAUCCAAU